AACGAACGCUGGCGGCAUGCCUAACACAUGCAAGUCGAACGAGAUCUUCGGGUCUAGUGGCGCACGGAUGCGUAACGCGUGGGAAUCUGCCCUCAGGUUCGGAAUAACCAUUGGAAACGAUGGCUAAUACCGGAUGAUGACGUUAAGUCCAAAGAUUUAUCGCCUGAGGAUGGGCCCGCGUAGGAUUAGCUAGUUGGUGUGGUAAAGGCGCACCAAGGCGACGAUCCUUAGCUGGUCUGAGAGGAUGAUCAGCCACACUGGGACUGAGACACGGCCCAGACUCCUACGGGAGGCAGCAGUGGGGAAUAUUGGACAAUGGGCGAAAGCCUGAUCCAGCAAUGCCGCGUGAGUGAUGAAGGCCUUAGGGUUGUAAAGCUCUUUUACCCGGGAUGAUAAUGACAGUACCGGGAGAAUAAGCUCCGGCUAACUCCGUG
rnacentral:rRNA from 1 species